GACGAACGCUGGCGGCGUGCUUAACACAUGCAAGUCGAACGAGGGGCGAACGGGUGAGUAAUACGUGGGUAACCGGCACUAGUUUUAGGAUAAGCCUUGGAGAGGAGGUCUAAUACCGAAUAGAGGGGGAUGGGCUCGCGGCCUGUCGGCUUGUUGGUGGGGUGGUGGCCUACCAAGGCAGUGACGGGUAGCCGGACUGCGAGUGUGACCGGCCAUAUUGGGACUGAGAUACGGCCCAGACUCCUCCGGUAGGCAGCAGUUGGGGAUAUUGCACAAUGGGCGACAGCCUGAUGCAGCGACGCCGCGUGGGGGAUGAAGGCUUUCGUGUUGUAAACUUCUUUCGCUCUCGAACGGGUAGGUGGAGAAGAAGCGCCGGCUAACUACGUGCCAGCAGCCGCGGUAAUUC
rnacentral:rRNA from 1 species